rnacentral:rRNA from 1 species
UACGUAGGUGGCAAGCGUUGUCCGGAAUUAUUGGGCGUAAAGCGCGCGCAGGCGGCCUCUUGAGUCUGAUGUGAAAGCCCCCGGCUCAACCGGGGAGGGCCAUUGGAAACUGGGAGGCUUGAGUAUAGGAGAGAAGAGUGGAAUUCCACGUGUAGCGGUGAAAUGCGUAGAGAUGUGGAGGAACACCAGUGGCGAAGGCGACUCUUUGGCCUAUAACUGACGCUGAGGCGCGAAAGCGUGGGGAGCAACAGGAUAA